GCAAGUAAAAGUCGUAACAAGGUUUCCGUAGGUGAACCUGCGGAAGGAUCAUUACAGAGUUCAUGCCCUCACGGGUAGAUCUCCCACCCUUGAAUAUUUAUACCUUGGUUGCUUUGGCAGGCCGUGGAAACACCAUGGGCUCCGGCUUAUGCGUGCCUGCCAGAGGAAACAAACUCUGUUUUUAGUGAUGUCUGAGUACUAUAUAAUAGUUAAAACUUUCAACAACGGAUCUCUUGGUUCUG
rnacentral:misc_RNA from 1 species